CUCGUGUGACCACUUUCGGAGUGCACUGUUGGGUGAAGCGACCACCCCAAUUUCAAAACAGACUUUGUGAGUAUGAUCCAAUCCUCGCCAACUGAGAAUACCCUAUCAACUAGGGUUAACAAUCACUAGGAAACUCAACUAUCCCUAUAUUCCAAUACCAUAGUGUUCUACUACACUAUAUUCCAAUGCCACUCGUUUACAUUAUUAUAUUGUAAGGGCCUGUUUGGCCUUGCUUCUGAAAAAGUGAUUUCUGAAAAAGUGAUUUUGGUUUGGAAAAGUGAUUUUGGUUAAAAACUGUAGAGCAUUUGGAGGAGUUUAGACAAAAGUGACUUUUCUGAAGUGAUUUUGAAAAGCUGUUUGAAAUUUUUUUUUUGAUAUUUGGAUAAAUUAAUAUUUUUAUUAAAUUUUAUUUUAAAAUAAUUAAAAAUCUAAAAUUAAAUUUGAAUUAAAAUUAAAAUUUUUAAAUUACAAAAUUGUACAAAAUUUAAAAUUUGAUAUUUUAAUUUAAA
rnacentral:lncRNA from 1 species